CACGUAGGGGGCAAGCGUUGUCCGGAUUUAUUGGGCGUAAAGAGCUCGUAGGCGGUUCGGCAAGUCGGGUGUGAAACCCCCAGGCUCAACCUGGAGACGCCACCCGAUACUGUCAUGACUAGAGUCCGGUAGGGGAGCGUGGAAUUCCUGGUGUAGCGGUGAAAUGCGCAGAUAUCAGGAGGAACACCAGCGGCGAAGGCGGCGCUCUGGGCCGGUACUGACGCUGAGGAGCGAAAGCGUGGGUAGCAAACAGG
rnacentral:rRNA from 1 species